rnacentral:lncRNA from 1 species
UUUUCUUCUCAGGAGGUGAGAACAUAGCAGGAUCGAGUCGGGGUAUGGAAUGAAGGUUCUAGAGAGAGUUGUUUAGUAGUCCUCACCAUUUUUGUAAAAUAAUGUAUCAAUAAUUAUGAUGAGGAUUUAUUUGCGUGUGGAUAUUGUCUAGACGGCAAUAUCUGUAUUUAAACUCACAGUAUGUAUUGUCGUAUUUCACAC